rnacentral:rRNA from 1 species
UACGUAGGGUGCAAGCGUUAAUCGGAAUUACUGGGCGUAAAGCGUGCGCAGGCGGUUUGUAAGUCUGUUGUGAAAUCCCCGGGCUCAACCUGGGAACUGCAUUUGUGACUGCAUAGCUAGAGUACGGUAGAGGGGGAUGGAAUUCCGCGUGUAGCAGUGAAAUGCGUAGAUAUGCGGAGGAACACCGAUGGCGAAGGCAAUCCCCUGGACCUGUACUGACGCUCAUGCACGAA